AUCCCUAUCCGGCGCAUUAAGCGCGAGGAUUGGCCGGCGUUCGGACGAGCAGUGGGAGAUGCCUUUUUCGCCAGCGGAUUGCCUUUCAGGGAGGAUCAGAACGGGGAGUUUGACGACGGCAUUUAUCCGCCCGCGUUNNGGGAUGAUCGCCGCGUUUCGGCGGCAUCCGCCUAUCUCGAUGCCCGGAUACGCAGGCGCAAGAAUCUCGCGGUAUGGACGGACAGUUUUGCCGAUCGGCUUGUCAUGCGCGGGCCUCGUGCG
rnacentral:misc_RNA from 1 species